CCAUCGGCAUUCCCUAGUACUGCGAGUGAGCGGGAAGAGCUCAAAUUUCAAAUCUGGCGCCCUUGUGGACGUCCGAGUUGUAGUCUGGAGAAGUGUUAUCCGCGUCGGACCGUGUACAAGUCUCCUGGAACGGAGCGUCAUAGAGGGUGAGAAUCCCGUCCAUGACACGGACGCCCGAUGCUAUGUGAGGCACUCUCAAAGAGUCGAGUUGUUUGGGAAUGCAGCUCAAAAUGGGUGGUAAAUUCCAUCUAAAGCUAAAUAUUGGCGAGAGACCGAUAGCGAACAAGUACCGUGAGGGAAAGAUGAAAAGCACUUUGGAAAGAGAGUUAAACAGUACGUGAAAUUGUUGAAAGGGAAACGCUUGAAGUCAGUCGCGUCCCGUGGAACUCAGCCUGGUUUCGACCUGGUGUACUUUCCAUGCGGGACGGGUCAACGUCAAUUUCGGCCGGUGGACAAGGGCGAGGGGAAUGUAGCGUUGCUUCGGCGACGUGUUAUAGCCCCCCGUCGUAUACACCGGGCGGGAUUGAGGACGGCAGCACGCCCUUGUGGCCGGGGGGGUUCGCCCCCCACGUAACGUGCUUAGGAUGUUGGCAUAAUGGCUUUAAGCGACCCGUCUUGAAACCACGGACCA
rnacentral:rRNA from 1 species